rnacentral:misc_RNA from 1 species
AAGUCGUAACAAGGUAACCGUAGGUGAACCUGCGGUUGGAUCAUUAGUGGUUUUUUGGCAGCGCUGUUGUAGUGUAUGGUGGUGGUGUUGGGUUUUGGUGUGUGUGUGUUGUGUGUUCUGCUGUGUCUGUUGUUGACUUGGUCUUGCCUUGGUCUUGGCCUUGGUCUUGGCACAGCAACGGACGACGGAUCACUCGGACCAGACCCAACAGACCUCGCCAGAUAGACGUCUUUGCUUGCUUUGAUGAAACCAAAUCAAAAACAACUUUUGACAACGGAUCUCUUGGCUCUC